AUUGAACGCUAGCGGCAUGCUUAACACAUGCAAGUCGAACGGCAGCGCAGAGAGCUUGCUCUCUGGCGGCGAGUGGCGGACGGGUGAGUAACGCGUAGGAAUCUACCUUGUAGUGGGGGACAACUCGGGGAAACUCGAGCUAAUACCGCAUAAUCUCUACGGAGCAAAGCGGGGGAUCUUCGGACCUCGUGCUAUAAGAUGAGCCUGCGUCGGAUUAGCUUGUUGGUGGGGUAAUGGCCUACCAAGGCGACGAUCCGUAGCUGGUCUGAGAGGAUGAUCAGCCACACUGGGACUGAGACACGGCCCAGACUCCUACGGGAGGCAGCAGUGGGGAAUAUUGGACAAUGGGCGAAAGCCUGAUCCAGCAAUGCCGCGUGUGUGAAGAAGGCUUUCGGGUCGUAAAGCACUUUCAAUAGGGAAGAAAAUCCUGAAAUUAAUAACUUCAGGCCUUGACGUUACCUAUAGAAGAAGCACUGGCUAACUCUGUGCCAGCCGCCGCCGUAACAC
rnacentral:rRNA from 1 species